UACGUAGGCAGCAAGCGUUGUUCGGAAUUACUGGGCGUAAAGAGUGUGUAGGCGGUGCUCUAAGUUCGGUGUGAAAUCUCCUGGCUUAACUGGGAGGGUGCGCCGGAAACUGGAGUGCUCGAGCGUGGGAGAGGAAAGCGGAAUUCCUGGUGUAGCGGUGAAAUGCGUAGAUAUCAGGAGGAACACCGGUGGCGAAGGCGGCUGCCUGGACCGAUAUUGACGCUGAGACGCGAAAGCGUGGGGAGCAAACAGG
rnacentral:rRNA from 1 species